UACGGAGGGGGCUAGCGUUGUUCGGAAUUACUGGGCGUAAAGGGCGCGUAGGCGGUCUGUCCAGUUAGGCGUGAAAGGCCUGGGCUUAACCCAGGAAUGGCGCUUAAUACUGACGGGCUUGAGAUUGGAAGAGGAGAGUGGAAUUCCCAGUGUAGAGGUGAAAUUCGUAGAUAUUGGGAAGAACACCGGUGGCGAAGGCGGCUCUCUGGUCCACAUCUGACGCUGAGGCGCGAAAGCGUGGGGAGCAAACAGG
rnacentral:rRNA from 1 species